AGAGUUUGAUCCUGGCUCAGGACGAACGCUGGCGGGGGCCCGCAAGGGCAACCGGCGAACGGGUGCGUAACACGUGAGCAAGCUUCCGAUUUGUGGGGGAUAGCCGGCCCAACGGCCGGGUAAUACCGCAUACGUUCAUCGAGCGGCAUCGCUUGGUGAGGAAACCUCCGGGGCAAAUCGAGGUGCUCGCGGCCUAUCAGCUAGUUGGUGAGGUAACGGCUCACCAAGGCGACGACGGGUAGCUGGUCUGAGAGGAUGGCCAGCCACAUUGGGACUGCGACACGGCCCAGACUCCUACGGGAGGCAGCAGUGGGGAAUAUUGCGCAAUGGACGAAAGUCUGACGCAGCGACGCCGCGUGUGGGAUGAAGCCUUUCGGGGCGUAAACCACUGUUGCCCGGGACGAACCUCCCCAUUCGUGGGGACUGACGGUACCGGGUGAGGAAGCACCGGCUAACUCUGUGCCAGCAGCCGCGGUAAUACAGAGGGUGCGAGCGUUGUCCGGAAUCACUGGGCGUAAAGGGCGCGUAGGUGGCUGGGUAAGCGUGUGGUGAAAGUCCGGGGCUCAACCCCGGAUCUGCCGUGCGAACUGCCGAGCUCGAGCGAUGUAGAGGCAGGUGGAAUUUCGGGUGUAGCGGUGGAAUGCGUAGAGAUCCGAAAGAACACCAGUGGCGAAGGCGGCCUGCUGGGCAUUUGCUGACACUGAGGCGCGACAGCGUGGGGAGCAAACAGGAUUAGAUACCCUGGUAGUCCACGCCGUAAACGAUGGGUACUAGGUGUCUGGGGGAGCGACCCCCUGGGUGCCGACGCUAACGCAUGAAGUACCCCGCCUGGGGAGUACGGCCGCAAGGCUGAACUCAAGGAAUUGACGG
rnacentral:rRNA from 1 species